rnacentral:rRNA from 1 species
GAUGAACGCUGGUGGCGUGCCUAAUACAUGCAAGUCGAGCGAACGGACGAGAAGCUUGCUUCUCUGGUGUUAGCGGCGGACGGGUGAGUAACACGUGGAUAACCUACCUAUAAGACUGGGAUAACUUCGGGAAACCGGAGCUAAUACCGGAUGAUAUUUUGAACCGCAUGGUUCAAAAGUGAAAGACGGUCUUGCUGUCACUUAUAGAUGGAUCCGCGCUGCAUUAGCUAGUUGGUAAGGUAACGGCUUACCAAGGCAACGAUGCAUAGCCGACCUGAGAGGGUGAUCGGCCACACUGGAACUGAGACACGGUCCAGACUCCUACGGGAGGCAGCAGUAGGGAAUCUUCCGCAAUGGGCGAAAGCCUGACGGAGCAACGCCGCGUGAGUGAUGAAGGUCUUCGGAUCGUAAAACUCUGUUAUUAGGGAAGAACAUAUGUGUAAGUAACUGUGCACAUCUUGACGGUACCUAAUCAGAAAGCCACGGCUAACUACGUG